rnacentral:rRNA from 1 species
GACGAACGCUGGCGGCGUGCCUAAUACAUGCAAGUCGAGCGGACCAAACAGGAGCUUGCUCUUGUUUGGUUAGCGGCGGACGGGUGAGUAACACGUGGGUAACCUGCCCGUAAGACCGGGAUAACUCCGGGAAACCGGAGCUAAUACCGGAUAACACCGAAGACCGCAUGGUCUUUGGUUGAAAGGCGGCUUCGGCUGCCACUUACGGAUGGGCCCGCGGCGCAUUAGCUAGUUGGUGAGGUAACGGCUCACCAAGGCGACGAUGCGUAGCCGGCCUGAGAGGGUGACCGGCCACACUGGGACGGAGACACGGCCCAGACUCCUACGGGAGGCAGCAGUAGGGAAUCUUCCGCAAUGGACGAAAGUCUGACGGAGCGACGCCGCGUGAGCGAAGAAGGUCUUCGGAUCGUAAAGCUCUGUUGUUAGGGAAGAAGAAGCGCCGUUCGAACAGGGCGGCGCGGUGACGGUACCUAACGAGAAAGCCCCGGCUAACUACGUG